rnacentral:rRNA from 1 species
AUUGAACGCUGGCGGCAUGCCUUACACAUGCAAGUCGAACGGCAGCACGGGAGCAAUCCUGGUGGCGAGUGGCGAACGGGUGGGUAAUAUAUCGGAACGUGCCCAGUAGUGGGGGAUAACUGCUCGAAAGAGCAGCUAAUACCGCAUACGACCUGAGGGUGAAAGGGGGGGAUCGCAAGACCUCUCGCUAUUGGAGCGGCCGAUAUCAGAUUAGCUAGUUGGUGGGGUAAAGACCUACCAAGGCAACGAUCUGUAGUUGGUCUGAGAGGACGCCCAGCGACACUGGGACUGAGACACGGCCCAGACUCCUACGGGAGGCAGCAGUGGGGAAUUUUGGACAAUGGGCGCAAGCCUGAUCCAGCAAUGCCGCGUGCAGGAAGAAGGCCUUCGGGUUGUAAACUGCUUUUGUCAGGGAAGAAAUCCUCUAGGUUAAUACCCUUGGGGGGAUGACGGUACCUGAAGAAUAAGCACCGGCUAACUACGUGCCAGCCGCCGCCGUAAUAC